AUAUUAAUAAGCAAAGGAAAAGAAAUCAACUGAGAUUGCCUUAGUAAUGGCGAAUGAACUGGCAAAAGCUCAUUGCUGAAGCAUGUUAAAUUCACUUUUGACAUGCAUUGUAGCAUUUGGGGUGACUAUGUAUAGUGCCUAUUCGUGUGAGUUCCUUUGAUCAGGAUCUU
rnacentral:rRNA from 1 species